rnacentral:rRNA from 2 species
UUGGAGGGCAAGUCUGGUGCCAGCAGCCGCGGUAAUUCCAGCUCCAAUAGCGUAUAUUAAAGUUGUUGCAGUUAAAAAGCUCGUAGUUGAAUUUCGGGAUCAGAUUGUCGGUCGUGCCUCGGUACGUACUGGCAUUAUUGGUUCCUACCUUCUGAAGAACCGCGAUGUCAUUAAUUUGGUGUCGUGGGGAAUCAGGACUGUUACUUUGAAAAAAUUAGAGUGUUUAAAGCAGGCGCACGCUUGAAUACAUUAGCAUGGAAUAAUGAAAUAGGACGUUUGAUUCUAUUUUGUUGGUUUCUAGGAUCGACGUAAUGAUUAAUAGGGAUAGUUGGGGGCAUUAGUAUUCAAUUGUCAGAGGUGAAAUUCUUGGAUUUAUUGAAGACUAACUACUGCGAAAGCAUUUGCCAAGGAUGUUUUCAUUAAUCAAGAACGAAAGUUAGGGGAUCGAAGACGAUCAGAUACCGUCGUAGUCUUAACCAUAAACUAUGCCGACUAGGGAUCGGAUGAUGUUAAUUUUAUAAUGACUCAUUCGGCGCCUUACGGGAAAC